rnacentral:lncRNA from 1 species
AAGCUUCCAGUCCGCGUCUUUGCCCUCGGCAUCAUGGCUACGGUGUUGGGCCUUGGACUCGCCACGGCUUCGUAUCCUGACAGCGUCAACGUGGUUACAGGCCGCCCUGGUCCGCUGGGAUGUGGAGCAAAGACUUCCACUUCUGUCCGCUUCCGGUCC